rnacentral:rRNA from 1 species
UAGGGAAUCUUCGGCAAUGGGGGCAACCCUGACCGAGCAACGCCGCGUGAGUGAAGAAGGUUUUUCGGAUCGUAAAGCUCUGUUGUAAGAGAAGAACGUGUGUGAGAGUGGAAAGUUCACACAGUGACGGUAACUUACCAGAAAGGGACGGCUAACUACGUGUCAG